rnacentral:rRNA from 1 species
UACAGAGGAGCCAAGCGUUGUCCGGAUUGACUGGGCGUAAAGCGCACGCAGGCGGCACCGCGCGUGGGGUGUGAAAUCUGGCCGCUUAACGGCCAGGCGCCAUCCCAUACGGCGGAGCUGGAGUGAUGCAGAGGUCGAUGGAAUUGCCGGUGUAGUGGUGAAAUGCGUAGAUAUGUGGAGGAACACCGAUGGCGAAGGCAGCCUUCUGGGCCAACACUGACGCUCAUGCACGAAAGCGUGGGGAGCAAACAGG